GAUUGGGAGAACCUGCUAGCCCGCUAACCCCUUGCAAGGGCGGGCCUUACAGGCUGGGGCUCCGGGAUUAAGCGCCGGGCAGCCUAGGGCUCGAGGAUUGGACAAGAGACGAACUGAAGGCGGAGGCAAGGACCCCUGGGACCAGAACUCUCCCCAACUUCACCUGUUGGGUGCGGUUGACUCGGAGGCGUCCUGGGCUCCCUGCUGGCCUCAGAAUGCGUUCCUGGCCUUACUCACCCUCCACGGUGCCCCAGGAGUAGCAGCGUCCCCUCACCGGUCGGGUCCCGCCGUCCCUCACUACUUCGCAGGAACCGACGACAGCAAAAGGGAUGCUUUCCUAGAGGGCAGGAGUCAGCGAUCACCGUUGGCCCCCUUUGGGCAGAAACCUCUUUCUCAGCUCCCACCUCCACAUCCGCCCUCCCUGGCUUCUCUGCCCCUUCCUCCUUUGCCUCUGCACCUUCAUCUCCGCAUCCUGCCUCUUGAAGUCUUCAUCCUCAUCUGAGUCACAAUCGGGGAACUGGUAGAUAUUGAUCUCCUCCUCCUGCAACUGUUCCCGGAUCUUGGAGGAGACAGAUGCAGAGACGGUGAGAAACACAGAGACUGUGAACCACAGACAUUGCAUGACCAGAGACAGUGAGAUAUAGAUGCAGACACGGGGUAGAAGAGACAGAGAGGAAGACAUGAAAGACAGAGAUGGUGAAAGAUGGACAUAUGGGAUGAAUGAAAACAAAAUCUCAAACGAGAGACAGAGACGUAGAUGGUGAAAAACUGAGACAGUUACCCUAAUGGGAAGACUGAUGCCUGGGAAGUUUUGAAGCUGAGCAGACACCGAAAGAUCAGGAGAGAGAGGCAUAAGUGGAAACAGUGGGAAAGGGCUCUGAAGACACAGGGGCGUGGGAAGGUGGGGGGGUGGGGCAGUCAGCAUCCUGGGGCCAGAAGGAUAAUAUUGGUCAUUAUGUCUACACCCCUGGCCUCAGCCAGGCCUUAGCCAAGCAUCCAGCCCAGGGAUUCUAUUCCGAACCUCCAGAGACAUGGCUUCCUUAGGCAGCUUAUGACCCACCUUCCUCAGAAACUUUCUUCCACAGUCUAGCCUGACACAUCACGCUCCAAAAGGGCUACCCCAAGAUCAAAGAAAUCAAGGCUGAGUUCGAUUUUGAUCAUGACUUUUGGCUUCAUGUGAGGCCAAAUGUCAGAGGCCACCGCACACACCUUCUGCUUGAGGGCCUGUGUUUCCUUAGGCAUCAGGGCAUCUGCUUUGCCAAUGACUGGGAUGAUGUUGACCUUCUCAUGCACCGCCCGGAGGAAGGCCACAUCUAGGGGCCGGAGCCUGCACCCAGGGAUUGGUCAGGGCUCAGUUUCAGGGCACAGAGACACUCCCCCUCCAGCCCUCCCCAAAUGUCCCAACUCCCCAGGGUGCCCCUCGGACCCCCGGCCAAAGGGUGAGAUGAAGUAGAGGCAGCAGUGGACACGGGAAUCCUGGAUGUUCUUCCUGUUCAGGCCACUCUCAUCCCGAAGAUACUGCUCAAAUUGCUCCUCAAUGAAGCGCACCACGGGCAGCCAGCUGGGGUAUGGGGAGAGAGCGGCAAGUCAGAGAACAGGGACCACAGCACAGGGAAGGGGAAAAGGCUAGCCAGGACUGUGGGUGUGGGAAGUAGUUUCUUUGGCUCCAACCAAAGACAUAAGAGGAAACUGGCAGGUGAGAUGUCGGGAAGUACAGGGCAAUUUGGGCCACAAGGCCACCAGAAACAGGCCCCACCUUUGGCGGGGGGCGGGGGGUAGGGCAGGGCAGACCAGCCCAGAAUCUGACCCCUCAGUCUCCACAGAGUAGCCACAUUGGGAAGCUGAGCCCCAGGUCCUCCCCCAUUCCUCACCAGUCUGAACAGUCCACUGAGUCCCCAAAGCCAGGUGUGUCCACCAGGGUCAGCUUCACCUUAAUACCCCCCUCCUCGAUCUCCACGCCCCGGCGCUCGAUGGUCAGUGUUUGUGUCAAGCGAGCUAUGAGGAUGGGGAGAGGUCAGGGAGCUGGGUAGGGGCCUGAGGCAGGACUAAUUUCCUUUCUCAGACUCACAGUUGCCUCCACCCAUUUUUCAGGGGAGGAGAGUGAGUCUCGGAGAAAAGCAGUGAGCUGCCUGAGUCCCCCAGAAUGUCAUGGGAAACCCAGUUGGAAAGGAAGAGAGUGCAGUCUAGGGACAUGGGAGGAGGGGGUCAGAGUGCCUGGAGAGCACGGUGAGGAGGGGGUCUUACCCCUGGCCUCUGGGACUUGCCGAUCCUCAUAGAGGUUGGUGAGAAAUAGGCUGUUGAUGAGGGUAGAUUUUCCCAGGCCUGACUCCCCUGUGGACAAGACAGCCCCAGCUGGUCAGGUGAGGGGACAGCCAAGGUCUCUUGAGGACCCCUUGCCAGGCCCCUCUCCAAAACCUCCAGACCUGCCACCAUGAGUGUGAAGUCAAACCCCUUCUUGACGGACUUGCGAUGCAGCUGGUUGGGGAGGGCGGCGAAACCCACAUACUCCUUGUCCUGUUGGCAGGGGGUGGACAAUAUGAGGCUGCUGGGGGCAGCAGGCAGGGCUCCCAGGAUAACCUGAUCUCAGAGGCUAGGAGAAGUCAGCCUAUUGUGGGUUGACCUGGUUAACCUGGGGGUAGGGGACUGGGGGCAGAGAUGCCUGGAUUCCUGGGCAUAAAGACUCACCAUGGCCCCGAUAGCUGUCGCUGCACCUGCUGUCUCUCCCCACUUCCUCUGGUGGGGCAGGAAGUUGAGGGCGGCAAACAAGGGGGCGGGCAAUGUAGGAAGCUGAGAUGCUCAAACUGGCCCAGACAGGUGGGAAAAGCUGAGACCAAGAACAGCUGUGGUCCUCAAUUCCUGGAUACCUUUGCCCAUAACCCCAAUAGGAAGCUUCAACCCCUCUGUUCUCUGUACACCUUUAUUCCAAGCCCCAUUGUAACCCCAUCACCCUGGUGGGAGGUAGGGUGUAAGCAGAGAGGAAGGAAGUGGGUUGGUCUCUCUAGCAAGUGAGAUGAAGGCUUUGACAGAGGUGGUUAAAAAAAAAAUGUUCCAAGGAUCUGAGUGGACCAAAAGCCAUAACAAAGAUUGAGGGUGGGAGGGGCAAUCAAUUUUCCUUGCCAGCUCUUGCACUGGAUUCUUAAAAGGACUUCAGGUCUUUGGACACCUUUUCUAGAGAGACUGUCCUUCAGAAUCCUGGCCAAGGCACUCCCCUGCUUGAAACCCUUCAUGGGCUUCCCAGUGAUCUCAGAAUCAAUUCUGAGUCCUGACUUGGCAGCCAAAGCCUCCCCCAUCUGACCUCAUCACCCCAUCUUUCACUCACCCUUACUGAGUGCCCAUAUCCUAGGCUCUGUGUAUGUUGACCUUUACCUUCUUCUGCACCAGGUGAACUGCUCUUUAUCCUUCUAGGGUUUGAUUCAAAGGGCUCUUCUUCCUCCUCUAUGAAACCUUCCCCACCCACCCCAGGCAGAGUCAUUUUCCAUCCUCUAGACUCCCCAGCACCUUUCACAGGCCCCUCCAUUGCCCACCUUUGCUUAUCUGGAUAUCUCUUCUACUCCCCACUGAGUUUUCUGAGGACAGGGACCAUGUCUUCUAAUUUCUAUAUCCCUGGUGUCUUGCACAGAGCCUGGCACAAAGAAGGUGCCAAUAGGGCUUCCCUGGUGGCGCAGUGGUUGAGAGUCCGCCUGCCGAUGCAGGGGACACGGGUUCGUGCCCCGGUCCGGGAAGAUCCCACAUGCCGCGGAGCGACUGGGCCCGUGAGCCAUGGCCGCUGAGCCUGCGCGUCCAGAGCCUGUGCUCUGCAAUGGGAGAGACCACAACAGUGAGAGGCCCGCGUACUGCAAAAAAAAAAGAAAGAAAGAAAAAAUAAAGAAGGUGCCAAUAAAUAAUAUACUAGAUAAAUGAAUGCACGAAAGAGUGAGUGAUUGAAGUUAGUCCGGGACAAAGGCUGGCAGGCUGCAGAACUUGUAAAAGGAGCUUGGCUUUGGAGUCAGAAAGAACUUCCCAAACCUCAGCUCUCCCACUUACUGUGUGACCUUGGGCAAGUGAUUUGCCCUCUCUGAACUCCAUUUUUUUCAUAGUAAGAUGAAAUACACACAUUUAUAUUUUGUUAUCAGGACUCAGAGUGGUUUCAGAUGACAUGGGCUUUGGAGUUAAUCAGUUAUGUAUACAAUAUACUAUAUAUAUAUAUAUAUAUAUAUAUAUAUACACACACACACACACACACACACACACACACACACACACAUACCCUAGCUUUAGCAUUUAUGAACUGAGUGACCUCUCUGAAACUUUAAAGCGAGUCCCCUUAGUAUGACCUAUAAGGCCUUGCUCAAUCUGGAUCCUGCCUAUUGCUCCAACCCCAUUUUCUUUCUCUAUUCUUCAUGGUUCUAUUUAUUAUUUCCCAUUUAGCCCCUGUUAUAGACUGAAUUGUGUCCCCCUACCCCCCACUUCAUGUGUUGGAGCCCUAACCCCCAAUGUGACUAUAUUUGGAGGUAAGACCUUUAAGGAGGAAAUAAGGUUAAGUGAGGUCAGAAGGGUGGGGCCCUGAUUCUAUAGGUCUGGUGUCCUUAUAAGAAGGGACACCAGCAAUCUCUCUCUGCACAUGCACAAAGGAAAGGCCAUGUGAGGACACAGUGAGAAGGUGGCUGUCUGCAACCCAAGAAAAGAGGCCACACCAGAAACCAACCCUGCUGGCAUUUUGAUCUUGGACUUCCAGUCUCCAGAACUAUGAGAAAAUAAACAUCUGUUGAUUAAGACUCCUAGUCUGUGGUGCCCUGUUAUACCACCUCAUAGCUCACUCAUUUCCUCUCCUCAGCCUAGGCAACCACUCUAAUGUGCUUAAUGUGUAAUUUUUUAGUUUGUACAUAUUUUGAAAAAUGUGCAGUGCAUAGUACAUGUUUACACAAAUAGCUAUAUAUGUAUAUACUAAUAUGUAUUUCUGUUCGUUAAUUUUUUUCAAUCAGCGCUAUCUUUUAAGAUCCAUCCAUGCUACCACAUUUUCCUUACUUCAACCUCAUUUCUAGUACUGCUCCUUUCAUGUAACCUUGGAAAAAUCACCUCUCUGGGCCUUACUUUCCUCAUCUACCAUAUGGGAUUGGACGCUCCCACCACACUGAAUUCACAGAAGUUGUUCAAGUUUCAUGAUUAUAAAGACAUAGAAUAAUUAAGAGCUGUGUGACCUUGGGCAUCUUUAACCUUUCAGUGACUUCGUUUCUGUAUCUGUUAAAUAAUGCCAUUAAUAAUUUCACUUCAUAGGGGCAUGACGAGGAUUAUAUACCUAACACAUAUAAAGUUCUUAGCAGUGCCUGGCAUAAAAGAUGAGCUCACACAUAACGCUAGUUAUUGCUAUUACAUGAGCUGAGGGGUGCAACAGUGCCGCUAGCUCCAAUCUAGCGACUGCUCUUCUGCAUUAGUUGCUGAGAAUCCAGAGAGAGUGAAUCAGCCAGGGUUGCCACCCUCUGGGGAGACAGAGACAGCCACAAGCAAGAGUGACACACAGCACUGGUGCUAAAAAUGUAGUGUAAUAAUGAGAUAAACAGAGUACUUUGAGAAGCCAAGGGAAGGGAUAAUUAUACCCUUCCCCCUGUACCACAACACUUCCCCCUGCAUUUCUCACCAGGCUGAGCAGCCCUACCAUCCUAGUUAAAACUCUGAACUCCUCCCUCCUUUGCUCUCCACAAGUAUAUCCAAUUGGUUUCCAAGUCCUUUCUAUCCAUGAGAAAAAUUGGCCCCUCCUCUCUACACCCUUCACCGUCUUGCCCCUGCCCUGGGUUCAGACUCUAAUCAGCUCUUCCCUGAAUUAUUCAAAUAAUAUUUAAGAAAAUAACAUGUACACACCUGUCAGAAUGGCUAUCAUUCAAAAAGACCACAAAUAACAAAUGUUGGCAAGAUGUGGAGAAAAGGGAACCCUUGUACACUGUUGGUGGGAAUGUAAAUUGGUGUAGCCAAUGUGGAAAACAGUAUGGAGGUUCUGCAAACAACUAAAAAUAGAACUACCAUAUGAUCCAGCAAUAGCACUCCUGGGUAUAUAUCCAAAGAAAACGAAAACACUAAUUCAAAAAGAUACGUGCACCCCAAUGUUCAUAGCAGCAGUGUUUACAAUAGCCAAGAUAUGGAAGCAACCUAAGUGUCCAUCAACAGAUGAAUGGAUAAAGAAGAUAUGGUAUUAUAUAUACAGAUAUAAAAUAUAUAUACAUAUAUAUAUACAUACACAAACACACACACACGUAAUGAAAUACUACCUACUCAGCCAUAAAAAUGAAUGAAAUUUUGCCAUUUGCAACAAUAUGGAUGAACUUGGAGGGUAUUAUGUUUAGUGACAUAAGUCAGACAAAGACAGACACUAUAUAUUAUCGCUUAUAUAUGGAAUAUAAAAAACAA